rnacentral:rRNA from 1 species
UACGGGGGGGGUAAGCGUUGUUCGGAAUUACUGGGCGUAAAGGGCUCGUAGGCGGCCAACUAAGUCAUACGUGAAAUCCCUCAGCUUAACUGGGGAACUGCGUGUGAUACUGGAUGGCUUGGAUUUGGGAGAGGGAUGCGGAAUUCCAGGUGUAGCGGUGAAAUGCGUAGAGAUGUGGAGGAACACCGAUGGCGAAGGCAGCCUCCUGGGCCAGCACUGACGCUCAUGCACGAAAGCGUGGGGAGCAAACAGG